AAAUGAAUAGACGGGGGCUCACACAAGCGGUGGAGGAUGUGGCUUAAUUCGAGGCUACGCGAAGAACCUUAUCCUGGGCUUGACAUGCACGGAUUAGUUUUAUGAAAGUAGAAUGACGAGCUUUGCUUGGAACGUGCACAGGUGCUGCAUGGCUGUCGUCAGCUCGUGUCGUGAGAUGUCGGGUUAAGUCCCUUAACGAGCGAAACCCUUGUCUUUAGUUGCCAGCGCGUCAUGGCGGGGACUCUAAAGAGACUGCCGGUGUUAAACCGGAGGAAGGUGGGGAUGACGUCAAGUCCUCAUGGCCUUUAUGUCCAGGGCUGCACACGUCCUACAAUGCGGCGUACAACGGGACGCGAACUUGCGAGAGUAAGCAAAUCCCUUAAAGCGUCGCUCAGUUCGGAUUGCAGGCUGCAACUCGCCUGCAUGAAGCUGGAAUCGCUAGUAAUCGUGGGUCAGCAUACCACGGUGAAUAUGUUCCUGAGCCUUGUACACACCGCCCGU
rnacentral:rRNA from 1 species